rnacentral:rRNA from 1 species
AUUGAACGCUGGCGGAAUGCUUUACACAUGCAAGUCGAACGGCAGCACGGGGGCAGCCCUGGUGGCGAGUGGCGAACGGGUGAGUAAUACAUCGGAACGUGCCCGGUCGUGGGGGAUAACGUAGCGAAAGUUACGCUAAUACCGCAUACGAUCUGAGGAUGAAAGCGGGGGACCUUCGGGCCUCGCGCGAUCGGAGCGGCCGAUGUCAGAUUAGGUAGUUGGUGGGGUAAAGGCCUACCAAGCCGACGAUCUGUAGCUGGUCUGAGAGGACGACCAGCCACACUGGGACUGAGACACGGCCCAGACUCCUACGGGAGGCAGCAGUGGGGAAUUUUGGACAAUGGGCGCAAGUCUGAUCCAGCCAUUCCGCGUGCAGGACGAAGGCCUUCGGGUUGUAAACUGCUUUUGUACGGAACGAAAAGGCUCUGGCUAAUACCUGGGGCUCAUGACGGUACCGUAAGAAUAAGCACCGGCUAACUACGUG